rnacentral:rRNA from 1 species
AUUGAACGCUGGCGGCAGGCCUAACACAUGCAAGUCGAGCGGUAGAGAGAAGCUUGCUUCUCUUGAGAGCGGCGGACGGGUGAGUAAUGCCUAGGAAUCUGCCUGGUAGUGGGGGAUAACGUUCGGAAACGGACGCUAAUACCGCAUACGUCCUACGGGAGAAAGCAGGGGACCUUCGGGCCUUGCGCUAUCAGAUGAGCCUAGGUCGGAUUAGCUAGUUGGUGGGGUAAUGGCUCACCAAGGCGACGAUCCGUAACUGGUCUGAGAGGAUGAUCAGUCACACUGGAACUGAGACACGGUCCAGACUCCUACGGGAGGCAGCAGUGGGGAAUAUUGGACAAUGGGCGAAAGCCUGAUCCAGCCAUGCCGCGUGUGUGAAGAAGGUCUUCGGAUUGUAAAGCACUUUAAGUUGGGAGGAAGGGCAGUAAAUUAAUACUUUGCCGUUUUGACGUUACCGACAGAAUAAGCACCGGCUAACUCUGUG